AGGACUCACUCGUAGAACGGAGAGAAAGCAAAGCAAAGCGAAAAAUGGAAGUAGAGGUCGACGAGAAGGAGCUCAAAGCCGCCGGAGCCGAGUUGUUCUCCGACGGACGCCGCGGCCUUCGAAUCCACGGCUGGGAAAUCGAGACUCGCAACCGCUCCAUUCUCAACUCCUCCACCCACGAACUGUGGGAGAAAAAGCUUGAGACUUGUCACAUGCCGGAGAUGAUAUUUGGGGAGAGUUGUUUGGUUCUGAAGCAUGUGAAGAGUGGCACCACUAUUCACUUCAAUGCUUUUGAUGCUCUGAUUGGGUGGAAGAAGGAGGCUUUGCCUCCAGUUGAAGUCCCAGCUGCUGCUCAGUGGAAGUUCAGAUGUAAACCCUCUGAGCAAGUGAUACUGGAUUAUGACUAUACAUUCACAACACCGUACGGAGGAAGUGAAACUAUUACCUUGGAUGCAGACAAGCACGAAGGAGGAGAGGUAUCUAAGGAGACCUGCAAUCUCCACUGGGAGGACUGCAAAGAAAAAAUUGAUGUGGUUGCAUUGGCAUCUAAAGAGCCUAUUCUCUUUUAUGACGAGGUAGUCUUGUAUGAAGAUGAAUUGGCGGAUAAUGGUGUGUCUCUUUUAACUGUAAAAGUGAGAGUCAUGCCGAGCGGUUGGUUUCUUCUCUUGCGUUUUUGGCUUAGAGUUGAUGGAGUGCUUAUGAGAUUAAGGGAUACCCGCAUGCACUGUGCUUUUGGAGAUAAUGUAAAUCCCAUUAUUCUUCGAGAGAGCUGCUGGAGAGAAGCUACAUUUCAAGCUUUGGCUGCAAAGGGAUACCCUUCUGAAGCUGCUGCCUACAAUGAUCCAAGUAUCAUCAGCCAAAGGCUUCCUGUGGUCAUGAGCAAGACCCAAAAGCUAAAGAAUGAAAUGCAGCCACUUUGAGGCAUGAAGUGGAACCAAAAAGAAAUUUCAGGCUCAUAUGGUUCUUCAAUAGCUCAGUGGUAGAGCAGUCAGCUAUUAUCUGACUGGUUGUUGGGUCCAAAUCCGAAUUUGGGAGAUUCCAUUCAAUUUGAAUAUGAAAUCAUUGAGACCUCUGCCAAAGUUCCAAUAGAAAGUCAUAUAUGGAAUAUUCCAAACUGGCGUAGCAGGUGGAUGGAUCAGAGUCGAAGAUUUAAAUCGAGCUUGCAUGGCUCUGAUUGUGGCUCUAAUUCUAGUGGAUCCAAGCGGAAGCUGCCUGGCCACAUCGAAUCCAUUACAUCGUCAAGUGUGAAAGGCAUCAUGCUAAACCUUGUCUUGGCAUCAUUAAAUCUUGCUACAAGUGCAGUUUCAUAUCUGCUUGGCUUGUGCACAAGUGAAUGGGGCUGAACGUUGAGCGAUCGAAGCGUUGAAGUAUUGAAGGGAAAGCCCAUCAUGGACAUCAUUCUUUGAGAUUGAUAUCUUCUAGCUGCACCUCUCUCUCUCUUGUGGGCGUUCUGGUGACCUCCUAAUGCCUGGGAGCUGAAGAACUUCCUCAUGCAGAAGUUACAGGAGAAAACCUUGCCUGAAGCUGGUCUUGACUGCGAGUCAGUGUCUCCUUCUGUUGAGAGCAAAUUCCCACCUAGGCUCAGGUUCAGCCACUCUCCUUGAUUAAGAUCUUCUGUUUCUUCAUUGUUAUCAUCGCUGUUUGCAUAUCUGUUUUGCUCUUUCCCUAGUACUAUCUCGCUUUCUGCUUCUCCGUGGGAGAUCAUUUCCUCUCAAAACUCUAGUUUGGUGAGGAUGUCAAAUGGAAGUUGAUGGAAUUGGGUUAAGCAAAGUCUCUCUGAAGGGUAUCAGAUCAAAGAAAAGAGGAAAGAAAUGGAGAGAAGCAUUAGAAUGUGAAGUGGAGAAUGCCUGUUUUCUAUUUUAUCACAUCUCUAUGCUGUGGCCCCUGUCUUCUGAUGCUUGGUGCUCCAAGGGGACAAUGCUUAGGUCAUCUUCACUAUUGCCUUGGUAAAGCUGGGGAUUCCCCACUUUCAUCUUUCUCCUUUCUUCUGUUCUCAGAGGAGACCUACUUUACAUGUUUCCAUCUGGAGGGUAACUGAAAAUUCACAAGGUUGACAAUCUUAAGACUCUUUCAUCAAAUGUCAACAUCAUUAUACUUGCUUAUUUAUCUGAAGUGCCUGCCACGAUUGCUUCUUAUCCACCUACUGCACACUUUGUUAUUUCUUGAACUUACUAUGUUGGCCUCUUUGUAGUAUUAAACAGCUGUUGGGUUAAGAUGGCAUUAGUGCUGAUGAUACUGUUCUUAUUCUUAAUAGGAAUAUCUAGGUUAUGUAUAAUGGACCACAGUAUUCGAAUAAUUUUCAGGCAUAUCAGCAGUAUUUCUGAACGCUACAUUAUAA